rnacentral:lncRNA from 1 species
GGGUUAUUCCAAUCCUAGGUUGACUUGAUUUUUUUCUUUGCUUUUCUUUUCUUUUUUUCUUGUUUCAUCGCUAAGUUUUUUUUUUGUACUAAGAAUCUUGCUUUAUUGAUUUUUGGGUUUGUAUCCAUGCGGUCGGUCAUCGGUUUUGAAGGUUAGCUUGUUUUUUUUUUUUUAUUAUUAUGAAUCUUGCUUCAUUGUUUUUUCUUCAAUUUUAUUAUUUAAUAUAUUUUUUUUUAGGAAUUGAUCUUCGUGCUUUUCUUUCCCUUUUACUCUCUACGAGUUUAUCCUAACCAUGUGCUCAUGGUCGCAAUGUUAACGAGUUAACCCAUAAUUUUUUUCAUUGUUUUUUUUUUAAUUUUACUUUUCA